rnacentral:rRNA from 1 species
UACGUAGGGUGCAAGCGUUGUCCGGAAUUAUUGGGCGUAAAGAGCUCGUAGGCGGUUUGUCGCGUCUGCUGUGAAAACUCGGGGCUUAACUCCGGGCCUGCAGUGGGUACGGGCAGACUAGAGUUCGGCAGGGGAGACUGGAAUUCCUGGUGUAGCGGUGAAAUGCGCAGAUAUCAGGAGGAACACCGAUGGCGAAGGCAGGUCUCUGGGCAUUAACUGACGCUGAGGAGCGAAAGCAUGGGGAGCGAACAGG